rnacentral:rRNA from 1 species
UACGGGGGGGGCAAGCGUUGUUCGGAAUUACUGGGCGUAAAGGGCUCGUAGGUGGCCAACUAAGUCAGACGUGAAAUCCCUCGGCUUAACCGGGGAACUGCGUCCGAUACUGGAUGGCUUGAGUUUGGGAGAGGGAUGCGGAAUUCCAGGUGUAGCGGUGAAAUGCGUAGAUAUCUGGAGGAACACCGGUGGCGAAGGCGGCAUCCUGGACCAACACUGACGCUGAUGAGCGAAAGCCAGGGGAGCAAACGGG